GUUGGGCAACUGCGUGGUAACUGG
rnacentral:siRNA from 1 species